UACAGAGGGGGCAAGCGUUGUUCGGAAUUACUGGGCGUAAAGGGCGCGUAGGCGGCCUUCUAAGUCGAACGUGAAAUCCCCGGGCUCAACCCGGGAACUGCGUCCGAUACUGGAAGGCUUGAAUCCGGGAGAGGGAUGUGGAAUUCCAGGUGUAGCGGUGAAAUGCGUAGAUAUCUGGAGGAACACCGGUGGCGAAGGCGACAUCCUGGACCGGU
rnacentral:rRNA from 1 species